GAUGAACGCUGGCGGCGUGCCUAAUACAUGCAAGUCGAGCGAACAGACGAGGAGUUUGCUCCUCUGACGUUAGCGGCGGACGGGUCAGUACCAUGUGGUUAACCUACCUCUAAGACUGUGAUACCUUCGGCAAACCGGCGCUAAUGCCGGAUAAUAUAUUGAACUGCAUGGUUCCAUAGUGAAAGUCGGUUUUGCUGUCACUUAUUGAUGGAUCCGCGCCGCAUUAGCUAGUUGGUCAGGUAACGGCUUACCCAGGCAACGAUGGGUAGCCGACCUGAGAGCGAGAACGAGCAGACGGGAAGAGAGGCAGAGUCCAGACACCGACGGGGAGACGCGGUAGAGAAUCUUACGGGAGGGAGGAGUGCCGAACGGUGCAACACGGCGGGAAGGAUGAAGGUCCUCGGAUCGUAAAACGCUGUUGGUAGGGAGGAACAAAUGUGUAAGUAACUGUGCAGGUCUUGACGGUACCUGGUCAAGAAGCCACGGCUAACUACGUG
rnacentral:rRNA from 1 species